CCAGGCCUUGGGAAGAGACCCUUUCAGAACUACAGGAGAGCAGAGAGCAUGCUUGAGGGCUGAUGCUGGUAGAUGACCUGUGACCUCCACACGCGUGGACACAGGAAUAUUAACAGCCAUGACAGAGGAGAUGUGAAGAAAGUGACCGAGGCGGAGACAGAGUUUAGAUAAAACCGCAGGACUGUAAAAGUCUCCUGGGGAGGGGGGAAGUGUCACUUUAUGAAUUGGUCUUUAAUGAAUGUUUUUGUUCGUGCCGUAGAACGUGGCUUAAAUCAGAAGGACGCGUCUACACCAAAUUCAGAUCACCUUUCAGUGAAAGGAAUCACAUCAUCUGAAGCAGGUGACGGUCAGACGGGUCAGCCGCAGCACGACGUGCCGUAUUUCAG
rnacentral:lncRNA from 1 species